rnacentral:rRNA from 1 species
GAUGAACGCUGGCGGCGUGCCUAAUACAUGCAAGUCGAGCGAACAGACGAGGAGCUUGCUCCUCUGACAUUAGCGGCGGACGGGUGAGUAACACGUGGAUAACCUACCUAUAAGAAUGGGAUAACUUCGGGAAACCGGAGCUAAUACCGGAUAAUAUAUUGAACCGCAUGGUUCAAUAGUGAAAGACGGUUUUGCAGUCACCUAUAGAUGGAUCCGCUCGUCAUUAGCUAGUUGGUAAGGUAACGGCUUACCAAGGCAACGAACCGUAGCCGACCUGGAGGGGGGAUCGGCAACACUGGAACUGGGACACGGCCCAGACUCCUACGGGAGGCAGCAGUAGGGAAUCUUCCGCAAUGGGCGAAAGCCUGACGGAGCAACGCGGCGUGAGUGAUGAAGGUCUUCGGAUCGUAAAACUCUGUUAUUAGGGAAAAACAAAUGUGUAAGUAACUAUGCACGUCUUGACGGUACCUAAUCAGAAAGCCACGGCUAACUACGUG